UGGGGCGGGGCGCGGUGGGCGUGUCCCGCGCCCCCGGCCGCACCCGCUACUUCCAGACCCAUUUCCUGACCGCCUCGGUGCGGCUCUGCGACUGCCCCGGCCUCGUCUUCCCCUCGCGCGCCCCGCCCGAGCUCCAGGNNNNNNNNNNCCCCUCGCGCGCCCCGCCCGAGCUCCAGGUCCUGGCAGGGGUGUAUCCCAUCGCUCAGCUGCAGGACCCCUACUCUGCCGUGGGGUUUUUGGGGUCCCGCCUGGCCCUGCCCCCCCUGCUGCAGCUGCGCCCCCCCAGCGGCGGCGCCUGGACGGCCUGGGAGCUCUGCGAAGCCUGGGCAGAGAAGAGGGGCUACAAGACGGCGCGGGCGGCGCGGAACGACGUGGCCCGAGCGGCCAACGGGCUCCUGCGGCUGGCGGCCGAGGGGCGGCUUCGCCUCUGCUUCCGCCCCCCGGGCUUCUCCCUGGAAAAAGAGCGUUGGGAGCUCCACCCCGACACCGCGGCCUUGGCGGCCAUGACAGGGGGCGGGGCCGGCGCCCCUCCCCCCGCCGGCGCCGCCUCCAGCUCCGAGGAGGAGGGGGAGGAGCCAGGCGAGGCCACGCCCCCUCCCGGCCCCGCCCCCAACCCCUUCGCCCUGCUGGGGGAGGACGAGUGCUGAGCCACGCCCCCUCCCGGGCAGGAGCCAAUCGGAGCCCGCGGAUUAGCAUAUCGCCGUAUACGGAAUAAAGCCUUUAUUUCUGCACGGCUGAUUGGCCGGUCCUGGCGAGGCGGCGGCCAAUCAGAGCGCGGGGGCGGGGCCUGCGGAGUGAGGUCGUUGUUAGGCCACGCCCACAUCUCAUUAUGUGAGUUAGGCCACACCCACAUUUACUUAUUUGGAUUGGGUCACGCCCACAUUUCCUUAUUUGGGUUAGGCCACACCCACAUCUCAUUAUUUGGGUUAGGCCACGCCCACAUCUGAUUAUGUGAGUUAGGCCACACCCACAUUUCCUUAUUUGGAUUGGACCACGCCCACAUCUCAUUAUGUGAGUUAGGCCACACCCACAUUUCCUUAUUUGGGUUAGGCCACGCCCACAUCUCAUUGUGUGAGUUAGGCCACACCCACAUUUCCUUAUUUGGGUUUGGCCACACCCACAUUUCCUUAUUUGGGUUGGCCACACCCACAUUUNNNNNNNNNNUUUCCUUAUUUGGGUUGGCCACACCCACAUUUCCUUAUUUGGGUUGGUCACACCCACAUCUCAUUAUUUGGGUUGGCCACACCCACAUUUCCUUAAUUGGGUUAGGCCACGCCCAUAUCAUUAUUUGGGUUGGCCACACCCACAUCUUAUUUGGGUUGGGCCACACCCACAUUUCCUUAUUUGGGUUGGGCCACACCCACAUUCCUUGUGUUUGACCACACCCACAUUUCCAUAUUUUGGUCUGGCCACGCCCACAUUUCCUUAUUUGGGUUGGCCACACCCACAUCUCAUUGUUUGGGCUUGACCACGCCCACUUUGGUGUUUGGCCCCACCCACAUUCCUUAUUUGGGUUUGACCACGCCCACUUUCGUGUUUGGCCCCACCCACGUUCCUUAUUUGGGUCCUGCCCCACCCUUCCUUAGCCCCGCCCACAUUUCCUUUUAUGGACUCGGCCCCGCCCAAAAGUGCUGCCAUAUUUUGGCUUGGCCCCGCCCCUUUUCCGUCAGGCCCCGCCCCCACUGACCCGUGGGCGUGUCCUGCCCGGGUGGGCG
rnacentral:lncRNA from 1 species